rnacentral:rRNA from 1 species
UUCCGGUUGAUCCUGCCGGAGGUUACUGCUAUCGGAGUUCGAUUAAGCCAUGUGAGUCUAAAGGUUUCUUCGGAAGCCUUGGCGGACUGCUCAGUAACACGUGGAUAACCUGCCCUUAGGUCUGGCACAACCCCGGGAAACUGGGGAUAAUACCGGAUAGAUCAGGGGUCGCUGGAAUGCGCCCUGAUCCAAAGCUCCGGCGCCUAAGGAUGGGUCUGCGACCUAUCAGGUUGUAGUGGGUGUAAUGUACCUACUAGCCGACGACGGGUACGGGUUGUGAGAGCAAGAGCCCGGAGAUGGAUUCUGAGACACGAAUCCAGGCCCUACGGGGUGCAGCAGGCGCGAAACCUUUACAAUGUGCGAAAGCAUGAUAAGGGAACUCCGAGUGCCAGCAUUAAAUGUUGGCUGUCCUUGUGCCUAAAACGCACAAGAUAGCAAGGGCCGGGUAAGACCGGUGCCAGCCGCCGCGGUAACACCGGCGGCCCGAGUGGUAAUCGCUAUUAUUGGGUCUAAAGGGUCCGUAGCCGGUUUGAUAAGUCCUCUGGGAAAUCUGAUUGCUCAACAAUCAGGCUGCCAAGGGAUACUGUCAAACUUGAGACCGGGAGAGGUAAGAGGUACUUCAGGGGUAGGAGUGAAAUCUUAUAAUCCUUGGGGGACCGUCUGUGGCGAAGGCGUCUUACCAGAACGGGUCUGACGGUGAGGGACGAAAGCUGGGGGCGCGAACCGGAUUAGAUACCCGGGUAGUCCCAGCCGUAAACGAUGCUCGCUAUGUGUCAGAUACGGUGCGACCGUAUCUGGUGCCGUAGGGAAGCCGUGAAGCGAGCCACCUGGGAAGUACGGCCGCAAGGCUGAAACUUAAAGGAAUUGGCGGGGGAGCACUACAACGGGUGGAGCCUGCGGUUUAAUUGGAUUCAACGC